GAUGAACGCUGGCGGCGUGCCUAAUACAUGCAAGUCGAGCGAACAGACGAGGAGCAUGCUCCCCUGACGUUAUCGGCGGACGGGUGAGUAACACGUGGAUAACCUACCUAUAAGACUGGGAUAACUUCGGGAAACCGGAGCUAAUACCGGAUAAUAUAUCGAACCGCAUGGUUCAAUAGUGAAAGACGGUUUUGCUGUCACUUAUAGAUGGAUCCGCGCCGCAUUAGCUAGUUGGUAAGGUAACGGCUUACCAAGGCAACGAUGCGUAGCCGACCUGAGAGGGUGAUCGCCCACCCUGCAUCUGAGGCUGGGUCCAGACUCCUACGGGAGGCAGCAGUAGUGAAUCUUCCGCAAUGGGCGAAUGGCUGACGGUGCAACGCCGCGUGAGUGAUGAAGGUCUUCGGAUCGUAAAGCUCUGUUGUUAGGAAAGAAGAAAUGUGUAAGUAACUGUGCACCUCUUGACGGUACCUAAUCAGAAAGCCACGGCUAACUACGUG
rnacentral:rRNA from 1 species